rnacentral:rRNA from 1 species
UACGUAGGGUCCGAGCGUUGUCCGGAAUUAUUGGGCGUAAAGGGCGCGUAGGCGGUCGUGACAAGUCACUUGUGAAAUCUCCGGGCUUAACUCGGAACGGUCAAGUGAUACUGUCGGACUAGAGUACAGAAGGGGCAACUGGAAUUCUCGGUGUAGCGGUGAAAUGCGUAGAUAUCGAGAGGAACACCUGCGGCGAAGGCGGGUUGCUGGGCUGAUACUGACGCUGAGGAGCGAAAGCGUGGGGAGCGAACAGG